GAUGAACGCUGACAGAAUGCUUAACACAUGCAAGUCAACUUGAACUUCGGUUUGGGUGGCGGACGGGUGAGUCACGCGUAAAGAACUUGCCUCACAGUUAGGGACAACAUUUGGAAACGAAUGCUAAUACCUGAUAUUAUGAUUUUAGGGCAUCCUAGAAUUAUGAAAGCUAUAUGCGCUGUGAGAGAGCUUUGCGUCCCAUUAGCUAGUUGGAGAGGUAACGGCUCACCAAGGCGAUGAUGGGUAGCCGGCCUGAGAGGGUGAACGGCCACAAGGGGACUGAGACACGGCCCUUACUCCUACGGGAGGCAGCAGUGGGGAAUAUUGGACAAUGGACCAAGAGUCUGAUCCAGCAAUUCUGUGUGCACGAUGAAGUUUUUCGGAAUGUAAAGUGCUUUCAGUUGGGAAGAAAAAAAUGACGAUACCAACAGAAGGAGUGACGGCUAAAUACGUG
rnacentral:rRNA from 1 species